GGUUAUUAGAUAUAGGGUUGUCCACUUGGUCACCAAAUACAGAAGUGAGCACUGCUAACAGUAAACAUCAAAGAAAAGACAAAAUCCAGAUGAAAUGUGCUAUGUACCAUAUUAAGAAUGCUAUGCUAUGUGCCAUAUUAACAAAGAUGAAGAAUGUGCUAUGUGCCAUAUUAAAGCUUCAACAGCUCACACCUUUAACCGUAUUAACCAGAGUUGGUCAAGGCCUGCUAUAUUACUUAGGUCCAGCUCUGACCUUUCGACAGUCGCCAUUUUCUCCUUGCAUGUGCCUCGGUAGUGGACAGUGACCUCUUUCCAAAUAUUAACGUCUCUUGAUAUUACGCUAAUGUUUGUCACACAGCUAAGACCCCGUCAGAGAAGAAGGACGGAAAGGCAGCCGAGGCAGAGGGUGAGCGACAGCAGGAGGGGGAAACCGAGGAGGAAGAAGAUGAGGAAGAGACUCGUACAAGAACCACCACGAGAUCCGCAUCUCGCCUGGAGGCCGAGAGAAAGAAACCAAGUAAACCUUCGACACGAGCCUUGACCAAACUGACGGGAAAGGAAGAGAGCCCACAGACCACACGGUAUGGCAGCACACGUGUGUCUGUGCAGUCAGCUCUUGCAUAUUAUUUUGUUCCUUUGGCUAAAAACUGUGGCAUCAUCUUUCUCUACAGGGUGGGCAGGGGCCAAGGACGCAAACGAGAAGGCAGCCCCCUCACAGUUCGCACCCGAGGGGGACAGAAGUCGGAGGAGCCCCCUGCCAAGAGAUCCAAGCGAUGAAUGAACGACAGGGCUCAUGUAGCACUCGUCUAUACUCUCUUGAUAGGGUUUGGUUUCUUAGUUUCAGUUGUAAAUAUCUGCUAUUUUGUGGAAAACAUGAAGUCCUGAGUGAGUUGUUCUCUAGCAAACAAAUAGCUGAAGAGUGAAAUAGGAAAAGGGAGCCAUGUAAUUUGGAAGCUGGAACAGAACACGGAGCCCCGGAACGCUUCUAUGGUCACACGUGUGCUUCCCUUAGGGCCUUGUCUCAGCUGAGCACUUGAAACUUCCCUCAUACCGCAACACGCACCCCGUCCACGGUGCCGGGGCAGUUUGCUCAGCUCCUUCAUCUGCAGCAGGUAAAGUUAUAUCGGCAGGGGCGCAGCAGCGGCAGUCAGGGGCAAUUUACCUGAAGUAGGAACACACAAAGCACCGGAACAGUUUGGGUUUUGCUCAAGCAAAUGUUGGCCUCACCUCCUUCAGGUGCAACAUUGUGGCAUAAAAAAAAUGUCUCUUGCGUAUGUAAUGCAUUUUAUGUUUUCUGUGUAUUAUUACAAAGUAGGGCUUCUGAAUUUGUGCAUCGUGUAUAAACUGAGCUUUUAUAUUCAUUCUGUGAAUGUAAAGAAGACGAGCCCUUUUCUCGCCUUUUUAUGUCUGUGUAAGGUGCACCAGUGUUGACAACUCCUCUGUGUGUUGUUUUUAUUUUUUAACAUACCUAGCCCAGUGACACAAACUGCUAAAUAGUUAUUAAAUCUUCACACCUUCUGUCCUAUGU
rnacentral:lncRNA from 1 species